GCAACGGUCUUAUUCUAUUUCUCAAAGAACGAUAUCGGCGAGGAGAGUAGGUAGCGGCUGUAAAAUGAGCAGGUGUUACUUUACAUAAAGAACGGCGCCGAGGAGGAGUGCUCGUGUCGGUGAUGAUUUUGUGAGGACAAUGGUAUUACGAAUGCUCCUAAGUAAUUUGUUGGGGUAACUUUGGAUCAAAUUGAAACUUUUGGCAAUAACAGUACCAUGCCUUUUUGCAAUGUUGAGAAGUGUACUUUCAGAAAAAAUGUGCAUAUGAAGACAAGAGAUGUGGGUAUUGCUGAAGAUAAUGUUGCAUCUUAUCACAAGCUUCCACAAUUAGUUGAUGAUCUUCAUCGUUAAAAGAAUGUAUAAAAGCAGCUUUCUUGAAAAUCCUGGUUUAUGUGGAGAUAUUCAGAAUUAUGUAAUGAAAGAAGUGAAGGAAAAAAUCAAAGUUAUAUUUGGUUAUUGAAAUCAA